UACGGAGGGGCUAGCGUUGUUCGGAAUUACUGGGCGUAAAGCGCGCGUAGGCGGACCUGCAAGUCGGGGGCUCAACCCUCGGAAUGCCGGUGGAUACUGGUCGAGCUUGAGUACGGAAGAGGCGAGUGGAAUUCCUGGUGUAGCGGUGAAAUGCGCAGGAUAAUCAGGAGGGAACACCGGUGGCGAAGGCGGGUCUCUGGGCCGAUACUGACGCUGAGGAGCGGAAAGCGUGGGGAGCGAACAGGAUUAGACUA
rnacentral:rRNA from 1 species